rnacentral:misc_RNA from 1 species
CUUGACAAGUAACAAAUACAUUACCUCACAUGAUAUCAUACAAGCAAGGGCUAUAAUUGCAUUGCAUAAAACUAAAAUUUUUUGGAGGAACCCUAUCACUCAGAUUGCUAAAAGAAAAACACUUCCAUUUGCAGCAUCUGAUUACCACAAUUUUUGCUGGUAAUUCAAAAAGGGAAAACCAUACAUUACAUUAAAGGAACAACCUUUUAGUUAAAUAAUUGUGACCACGAAUAUGAAACUGGACUUCUAACUUGGUUUUGAGCAUUAUUCCAAGAUAUCGAACCAAAUGUAGUCUUGCUCAUCGUGCUAACACCCUUCUUUGACACGAAUGUAACUGUGUAUCGCAGCCUCUCUCCUACCUUUUUGAAUACAAGCUUUGAUGGCUUCACAGUCACAGUAACAGACGGGGGAGCAUCAAUGACUACCUCAUAGGUAGAGCCUGCAGCUCCCACAUUGGUCAAGGUACGGGUGUAACGAACAACCCUUGAUUUGCCAAACAAAACUGCAAACGAUGGGUAGUUGAUCUGCCCAGGAUCUGAAAAUUUCUUAGCACAAGUGACAUUUGGGCGCUUGACAAUGGCUUGUAUGUGUUCCAUCUCAUAGUCCAACGAGCAUAAGAACUUGAUGUACUCCUUAGGCCUAAUAUCAUAGACAAGACCCGGGGAGAGUGCCUUGUGAGGAUCAACAUGACCUGCUCCAUGAGCCCAUGGAGUGGAAAGUUGAUCACCUUCGGCAUCACGAAGAGGGGAGUUAGUGGUGUCGCGAUUAUAGGCAGUUGUCAUAAGUGCAGAUUUGAUUGCACUUGGACUCCAUUCAGGAUGUGCUGCUUUCAGCAGUGCAGCCAGUCCACUGAUAUGAGGACAGGACAUGGAUGUACCAGACAUGAUGUUGAACUUGGUCCUCCUGGUAUCUUUCUCAAGGCCAGUAGGGCCAAUAGCCUCAGACCAAGCUGCCAAUAUGUUAACUCCAGGUCCAAUUAAAUCAGGCUUCAAUAUCUGUGGAGUCACUGUAUUAGGCCCUCUUGAGCUAAACGCUGCCACUACCGGCGAUGGCUUAACGUUUACCACCGUACCUCCAAAGCUGAGCAAUGCAGUCGGAUUCCUCUCACUCUUCACAUACUGCCUAAUCGCAUUUCCUAAUUUCCUACCAACAGCCACCGCAGGUAACAAAUGACUGUCUGCCACCAGCUCCUCACCACUCUCGACGGUGUUGGCCAAUAUCAUCCCAACCCCACCAGCUUCUUUCACAACUAGACCCUUCUCAACUCUAGCAUUAGUCCCUCUGUCACAUACCACUAUCUUCCCACGAACAUCUUUAGGGUUUAGGGAACCAGGCAAGCAAAGGCUAGAGCUACUAUCUGUGUUGUAAACUAAGCUAACUAGCUUUUUACCCAUACCUUUACCACUGUAUAAAGACACACCAGUAAUCUUUUUGCCAUUACCUAAAACAGCAUAAGCAGGGAAAUCACGGUCUAUGGUACCAGCACCAACAGUCAUAAUCCAUGGAGCUGUAUUUGCAAGUGAAGCUUUAGCAGGACCGCUGUUACCUGCAGAACACGACACAACAAUUCCUUUCUCCAUUGCAGAGAAACCACCAAUAGCAAUGGUAUCACGAUAAUAAGGACCUGAUCCACCACCCAAAGAUAAAGAUAACACAUCAACCCCAUCCAAAAUAGCACGGUCCAUACCUGCAAGAAUAUCAGACCCAAAACAACCAGUAGGCCAACACACCUUGUAAGUAGCUACACGGGCACGAGGAGCCAUACCACGAGCGAUUCCACUAGCAUAACCAAAAAGGCUAGCGUUACCCACUGGUGCACCAGCGGCGGUACUGGCUGUAUGGGUGCCAUGACCGUCCUGAUCCCGAGGCGAUUCCGGCUGUCUGGGUUGAUUCGCAAAUGAACUAGAAGACGACAUACGGUAACCUUUAGCGAAAAAUCUCGCACCAACCAGUUUCUUGUUGCAAUGUACCUUUGGAUCGAAAUCAGGUCCAGAUUCACAUUCCCCACGCCAUCUGGACGGCACAUCAGGCAUACCCACAUCACUAAAACUCUUAGAUUCAGGCCAAACACCGGUAUCAAGCACUCCAAUAAUAACAUCCUGAGCAGCACUAUUAAGCUCUUGUUGAGUAUGCCCAGCCCAAACCCCCAACUCAUUAUCCAACCCAAGAAACUCAGGGGUCCGAGUAGUAUGAAGUGUAUAAACAGUAUCCUCAUACACCCCAACUACAUCCUCAGACUGUCGGAGCAAUUCAGCCUCAUGGGGGUCAAGAGAAGCAGCAAAUCCAGGAUAAGCAGUAUCGUAAGAGUAAAGAAGAGAUUCAGAGUUGGAAGAAGAAGAAAGAGAUUUCAACUGAGCAUCGUACCAAUCAUGAUGAGUAGAAUAAGAAGGCGGCUUUUGUUGAUGUUUCACAUGAACAAUGUAAGUUUUCUUUGCGAAACAUGGGUGAAGAACAAGGAGAAAAGCAAUGAGAGAGAAACAGAAAAGAGAACCCAUCGGAAAAGCAAGAACAGAAGAGGAGACAGUCGCCGGUAAAUGCG